rnacentral:rRNA from 1 species
UGGGGAAUAUUGCACAAUGGGCGCAAGCCUGAUGCAGCCAUGCCGCGUGUAUGAAGAAGGCCUUCGGGUUGUAAAGUACUUUCAGCGAGGAGGAAGGCGGUAAGGUUAAUAACCUUAUCGAUUGACGUUACUCGCAGAAGAAGCACCGGCUAACUCCGUGCCAGCAGCCGCGGUAAUACGGAGGGUGCAAGCGUUAAUCGGAAUUACUGGGCGUAAAGCGCACGCAGGCGGUCUGUCAAGUCGGAUGUGAGAGCCCCGGGCUCAACCUGGGAACUGCAUUCGAAACGGGCAGGCUAGAGUCUUGUAGAGGGGGGUAGAAUUCCAGGUGUAGCGGUGAAAUGCGUAGAGAUCUGGAGGAAUACCGGUGGCGAAGGCGGCCCCCUGGACAAAGACUGACGCUCAGGUGCGAAAGCGUGGGGAGCAAACA